rnacentral:rRNA from 1 species
GAACAAACGCUGGCGGCGUGUCUUAAGCAUGCAAGUUGAGCGGCAAGGAGGAGAGAUCCUCCCUAGAGCGGCGGACUGGUGAGUAACGCGUGGGUAAUCUAUCUUAGGCAUGGGGAUAGUCACUAGAAAUAGUGGGUAAUACCGAAUAAGUUCCAUAAGGGGAGGACUUAUGGAAGAAAGGUGCUACGGCACUGGCCUUAGGUGAGCUCGCGUCCCAUUAGCUAGUUGGUGAGGUAAAGGCCCACCAAGGCGAUGAUGGGUAGCCGGCCUGAGAGGGUGUACGGCCACACUGGGACUGAGAUACGGCCCAGACUCCUACGGGAGGCAGCAGUUAAGAAUAUUCCGCAAUGGACGGAAGUCUGACGGAGCGACGCCGCGUGGAUGAAGAAGGCCGAAAGGUUGUAAAGUUCUUUUGCUAGGGGAGAAUAAGUGUGGGAGGGAAUGCCUGCACGAUGACAAGGACUAGCGAAUAAGUUCCGGCCAACUACGUGCCAGCAGCCGCGGUAACACGUAGGGGGCGAGCGUUGUUCGGAAUUACUGGGCGUAAAGGGCAUGUAGGCGGCUUGGUAAGCCUGGCGUGAAAGUCUGCAGCUUAACUGUAGGGAUGCGUUGGGAACUGCUUAGCUUGAGUUACGGAGAGGGAGCUGGAAUUCCUGGUGUAGGGAUGAAAUCUGUAGAUAUCAGGAAGAACACCGAUGGCGAAGGCAAGCUUCUGGCCGACAACUGACGCUGAGGUGCGAAAGUGUGGGGGAUCAAACAGGAUUAGAUACCCUGGUAGUCCACACAGUAAACGAUGUGCACGAGGUGCUGGGGCGGUAGUUUCAGUGCCGGAGCGAACGCGGUAAGUGCACCGCCUGGGGAGUAUGCUCGCAAGGGUGAAACUCAAAGGAAUUGACGGGGGCCCGCACAAGCGGUGGAGCAUGUGGUUUAAUUCGAUGGUACACGAGGAACCUUACCUGGGUUUGACAUACGGAGGGAAGUGGCAGAGAUGUCACUGCGUAGAGAUACGGCUCCGUACAGGUGCUGCAUGGCUGUCGUCAGCUCGUGCCGCGAGGUGUUGGGUUAAGUCCCGCAACGAGCGCAACCCCUACUGUCAGUUACUAACAGGUUAAGCUGAGGACUCUGGCGGAACUGCCGGUGACAAACCGGAGGAAGGUGGGGAUGACGUCAAGUCAUCAUGGCCCUUAUGUCCAGGGCUACACACGUGCUACAAUGGGCGAGACAGAGUGAAGCGAAGCCGAGAGGUGGAGCAAAUCGCAGAAAAUCGCUCUCAGUUCGGAUUGGAGUCUGAAACUCGACUCCAUGAAGGUGGAAUCGCUAGUAAUCGCACAUCAGCAUGGCGCGGUGAAUACGUUCCCGGGCCU